rnacentral:lncRNA from 1 species
GCUGCCUCCCCGAGGCCAUCCUUAGUCCCACGGGACCUGGCCACAGGGCAGACCCGCCCCUGGCUGGGGGCCUCCAGGGCAGGUGUGGGAGAGCUGGGGGUGCAGGUGACCAGGCCUGACUUCCGGCUGACGGGCACUUUUCUCAAGUUCCAGCGGUAGAUCUUCACAGCCACCAGCGCUGCAGCCAGGUGCCCAGCUGCAGAGGUGGACAAGACACUCUCGGAGGCUGAAGAAGUUGCCCUGGGCCAUUUCAGACUUCUCUCUGACAGGCUGCAAACCCUGCCUUCCUCCAGCUAGAUCCUCACUCAGGCGUCCUUGGGAGCCAGGGCAGUGGGAGCCAGGACCUGUUGCCUACCUCGCUGGGGGUGGGACCAGGACCCCCAUCCACUCUCUGACCCACACCUGAAGAAGACCAGCCACAUCUGUAAUCCUCAGCUCAGGAGGCUGAGGCAGGAGGAUUGCAAGUUCAAGGCCAGCCUCAGUAUCUUAGCAAGAC